AAAAAAAAAAAAAACAGCUUCAUCCAAAAAGCUUCACCCGAAAAGCUUCACCUCCAAAGCUUCACCUAAAAAGCUUCACCCGAAAAGCUUCACCUCCAAAGCUUCACCCACAAAGCUUCACCUAAAAAGCUUCACCCACAAAGCUUCACCUAAAAAGCUUCACCCGAAAAGCUUCACUUAAAAAAGCUUCACCUACAAAGCUUCACCUAAAAAAUCUUCACCUAGAAAGCUCCCUCUACAUACUUUCACCAUCAAAGCUUCACCCACAAAGCUUCACCCACAAAGCUUCACCUAAAAAGCUUCACCCAAAAAGCUUCACCAUCAAAGCUUCACCUAAAAAGCUUCACCCAAAAAGCUUCACUUAAAAAGCUUCACCCAAAAAGCUUCACCAUCAAAGCUUCACCUAAAAAGCUUCACCCAAAAAGCUUCACCCGAAAAGCUUCACCUAAAAAGCUUCACCCAAAAAGCUUCACCCGAAAAGCUUCACCUAAAAA
rnacentral:lncRNA from 1 species